rnacentral:rRNA from 1 species
UGGGGAAUUUUGGACAAUGGGCGCAAGCCUGAUCCAGCAAUGCCGCGUGAGUGAAGAAGGCCUUCGGGUUGUAAAGCUCUUUUGUCAGGGAAGAAACGACAUCCUCUAAUACAGGGUGUUAAUGACGGUACCUGAGGAAGAAGCACCGGCUAACUACGUGCCAGCAGCCGCGGUAAUACGUAGGGUGCGAGCGUUGCCCGGAUUUAUUGGGCGUAAAGGGCGCGCAGGCGGCCACGCACGUCCGUUGUGAAACCGCCCGGCUCAACUGGGCGGGGUCAGCGGAUACGGCGCGGCUGGAGCAAGCUAGGGGGCAAUGGAAUUCCCGGUGUAGUGGUGGAAUGCGUAGAUAUCGGGAGGAACACCAGUGGCGAAGGCGGUUGCCUGGAGCUUUGCUGACGCUGAGGCGCGAAAGCGUGGGGAGCGAUC